rnacentral:rRNA from 1 species
UCUGUACAAUAAGAGAUGAGGUGUAGAGGUGUUUUGUGUUCGACAGAUGUGCCAACGAAUUAUUAUUGAGUGAGUGCUCAAAGAAGGUGAAAAGCCUGUGCGGAAGCACACCCUGUAGAACCACAACACUGAAGAGUCUAGUUGUUUGAGAGUACAACUUAAAGCUGGUGGUAAAUUCCAUCAAAGGCUAAAUAUAUGAGGGGACUAAUAGCGAACAAGUACCAUGAGGGAAAGUUGAAAAGAACUCUGACGAGAGAGUUCAACAGUACGUGAAACCAUAUUGAGUAAAACAGAUAACUGUGUUGUUAUGCGGAGUGCCUAUCAACAGAAAUUAUGGUGUUGUGACGUCACGAAUGUUGGGUGUUUAUUCAGCUAAACGCUCGUGAUCAACAGAACCAGAAGUUCUGUGCACUAGUGCGCUCUCAAACAUUGAGAAACUAUGCUGCUGCGGUAUCGGUGUGCAUUAGACUGUACUUCGUACACAAAUGCAUGCUGGACUUGUGCUGGCUGGCGUAGUUUAGCUGUGUGACAGCUGUGAAUUGCGUUUAUCGAAAGACUGUGCUGUAUCUGCGAAUUGGUUUAUUCCUUUUUGCGGUGAGCAUGUUCCUGUAGGUAAGCGAUUCGCCAUCAAUGUUAAACAUUAGUUAUUUGACCCGUCUUGAAACACGGACCAAGGAGUUCAAAUGGCACGCGAGUCAUUGGGUUUUAGUACCCGAAGGCGAAGUGAAAUGCAAACGUAUUGUUAUUUGUGGUUGUUCCAUGAUGAAGCGAUAAGCUACUCAUGCUGUCUGGCAUUUGUAGACUACAAGCGUGAUGUUUGAGACCCGAAAGAUGGUGACCUAUGCCUAGUCAAGAUGAAGCCAGAGGAAACUCUGGUGGAUGUCUGAAGUUAUUCUGACGUGCAAAUCGAUAAUCUGAUCUGGGUAUAGGGGCGAAAGACUAAUCGAACCAUCUAGUAGCUGGUUCCUUCCGAAGUUUCCCUCAGGAUAGCAAGCGUACAUUUUUAGUUUCAUCCCGUAAAGCGAAUGAUUAGAGGCCUUGGGGCGUAUAUAGCCUCAACCUAUUCUCAAACUUUUAAUGGGUGUGAGUGUUUUUUCUCAAUUGAAAAACGCUGCUAAAUAAGUAUGCUUAGUGGGCCAUUUUUGGUAAGCAGAACUGGCGCUGUGGGUUGAACCAAUUGUUGAGUUAAAGUGCCUAAAGCUGGAAUGCGCAUGAGAUCUAUAAAGGGUGUUAGUUGCUGAAGACAGCAGG